AGAGUUUGAUUCUGGCUCAGGACGAACGCUGGCGGCGUGCUUAACACAUGCAAGUCGAACGAUGAAGCCUAGCUUGCUAGGUGGAUUAGUGGCGAACGGGUGAGUAAUACGUGAGUAACCUACCUUUAACUCUGGGAUAAGCCUGGGAAACUGGGUCUAAUACCGGAUACGACCAAUCUCCGCAUGGGGUGUUGGUGGAAAGCGUUAUGUAGUGGUUAUAGAUGGGCUCACGGCCUAUCAGCUUGUUGGUGAGGUAACGGCUCACCAAGGCGACGACGGGUAGCCGGCCUGAGAGGGUGACCGGCCACACUGGGACUGAGACACGGCCCAGACUCCUACGGGAGGCAGCAGUGGGGAAUAUUGCACAAUGGGCGCAAGCCUGAUGCAGCGACGCCGCGUGAGGGAUGACGGCCUUCGGGUUGUAAACCUCUGUUAGCAGGGAAGAAGAGAGAUUGACGGUACCUGCAGAGAAAGCGCCGGCUAACUACGUGCCAGCAGCCGCGGUAAUACGUAGGGCGCGAGCGUUGUCCGGAAUUAUUGGGCGUAAAGAGCUUGUAGGCGGUUUGUCGCGUCUGCUGUGAAAGGCCGGAGCUUAACUCCGUGUAUUGCAGUGGGUACGGGCAGACUAGAGUGCAGUAGGGGAGACUGGAAUUCCUGGUGUAGCGGUGGAAUGCGCAGAUAUCAGGAGGAACACCGAUGGCGAAGGCAGGUCUCUGGGCUGUAACUGACGCUGAGAAGCGAAAGCAUGGGGAGCGAACAGGAUUAGAUACCCUGGUAGUCCAUGCCGUAAACGUUGGGCACUAGGUGUGGGGAACAUUCCACGUUUUCCGCGCCGUAGCUAACGCAUUAAGUGCCCCGCCUGGGGAGUACGGCCGCAAGG
rnacentral:rRNA from 1 species